CUCAACUAGCCUACCAGGUUAAAUAAAGGUGAAAUAAAUCUAAUUUAAAAAAUAUAUUUAAAAAAAAUAAAGCUAGAAAUGUAGUACAGCAAUGGUAACGUCUUAUUAUCAUAAAUCAUUUAAAUAUACCGCCUUAAAACUGUCAUCACAUACACCUAUGCUUUGCUUUGGCUUUGUUUACAAACCUUAAACCAGCUACAGUAGCUCAAGCAGGACAUACGACCGAAGAUACUGGUAACCUUUCAUCUGUGGCGUGACAGUUAGCUAGCAAGCUACUUACCAGAACGCCGGAAAAAGCACACUGUCUUGUGACUGCAUGCCAUAAUGUAAAAUGAACCCUACACUAUUUUCCUAUGAAUCUGACAGCAGUGGCUGCUUUUCAUUUUGGGUGGACAGGCUGCAUCGAAAUUACGAUCAUGUCACGCGUGAGCAGUGCACAUUUCGAGUGAAGUUGCUUUAUCAAAUUGGGGAGAACAUUCAAUGGGUCUUGCCAGGAAGCUAAUCCUGAAGACGGAUGCUCAACCAUAAUUGACAGUGGAUCUAGCAAGCGCUGACCAUAAUUAAUGUAUCAGUUUGAUGAGUCUGACACGGUAGACAACAUUUUUUAGGGGAUCGUGGGGCUAACGUUAGAUAACUCAACUGUGGCUGCUUUGACUCGUGAACGGUAUAUUUUCUGUAACACACCUGAUAGUCACUAUAUGGUUGUUGUUCUACCAGCCCUUAGCCCCCUACAUCGAGUCUGAGAACUAGCCAGCACACAGCUGGUACGAAGGAAUGUUGUCCACAAAAGGAGUUGCGAUGUGUAUAGUUUUUGUAAUUGACCCUUAAAUGAUAUUUUGCCAUUCUAAUGUAUGGGUUGUUGUCUUACAGUGGAUGUAGCUUGUGUCAUGAUGAGUAGGAGGAGGAAAAUAAUAAUACCAUCCAUCUCCUUUUGUCUUUCCACUACUCUGUCUGCAUAGCUUCCCAGGCAACCGCCACAGCAGGAAUGCUGUGAUACAUAAUCAGCUUUCCCAAGAACAUUACUUUAUGUAGAUGGGCUCCUGGAUCUCUUUUUAACAAGGUCACCCUUGAUCCAGCGCCAGAGGUGGGGAAGCUGUGCGAGCUGUCCAUCCCAGGACCCCUGUUUGUCCAGUGUGAGAGGUCUGGCAAGGAGGCCGUAACUGGAUUGGUCUCCCGCCUCAAUCUUGGGGGCGACUGAAGCCAAGUGGGUGACUGAAGCUUGCAUGAUUGAAGCGUGGUACAUGGAUCCUCCUCUCCUCCCCAUCAAUCUCUGUAGUUGGUUGCAUUUCCUAAAGCCUAAGUAAAUCACUUUUAUGUGAUAUAUCAGAUUUUGUUACUUUGUAUGUAUAUUUUUUCAAGCAUUCAGACGGGACAUGAGUGUCACAAAUUGUACGAGUCAAUGGAUCCUGCACACUGUAGGGUGACCGGAUGCCUAUAUUAGGCCUAUGGUUCUUUUCUUUCUGUCAAAUGAUGUCUCACCAUUAUUUCUCAUCUGUUCAUGUAGAUCAAUAUUUCAGCUAUUCUGACCUACUGCAAAUGAUCAAAUAAAUGUCUGAUCAAUACAUACA